GAGACGGUAAGUCUUUAUACUGAGGAGGUGGCAGAGCUGAGACGGUAAGUCUUUAUACUGAGGAGGUGGCAGAGCUGAGACGGUAAGUCUUUAUACUGAGGAGGUGGCAGAGCUGAGACGGUAAGUCUUUAUACUGAGGAGGUGGCAGAGCUGAGACGGUAAGUCUUUAUACUGAGGAGGUGGCAGAGCUGAGACUAAGUCUAUACUCAACUGCUCAACUUUAUGCUCUCUAAUGCAUAUAGCAAAAAUGGGAUUUGAUGGAUCAAUAUAGAAUAACUUCACCGUUCACACAUUACAGAUACAAUACACAAGUCCCAAGAAUGUUCAUUAAAAAGCCUUACUGAUGCUGGCACAAAACUGGUGUCUUGGUCCUGAGAGGUAGAGACCUGAGUCUACGGCCUGAUGGCAACUGC